ensembl:lncRNA
CGCGACUCGGAGAGUGUCGCGUUACGGGUCUCAUCGCGACUCGCAGAUGUCGCGUUACGGGUCUCAUCGCGACUCGAGAGUGUCGCGUUACGGGUCUCAUCGCGACUCGAGAAGUGUCACGUUACGGGUCUCAUCGCGACUCGGAGAGAUCAUUGUGACACGGUGCGCUUUUCGGGACGUGGAGAUCGGUACAAUUGCCGAUCGUCAACGCGAGAGCAGCACUCAGUUGCACGGCCUUUCCAAUGGCUUACUCGUUAAACCAAAGAAUUCAUGGCUUCAUUGAGACGAUACACGCGUGGAGCCAAAGAAUUCACGGCUUCGUUGAGACGAUACACGCGUGGAGCCAAAGAAUUCACGGCUUCCUCGAGACGAUACACGCGUGGAGCCAAAGAAUUCACGGCUUCCUCGAGACGAUACACGCGUGGAGC